GAAGAGAUUGAUCAUGGCUCAGAUUGAACGCUGGCGGCAGGCCUAACACAUGCAAGUCGAGCGGUAGCACAGAGAGCUUGCUCUCGGGUGACGAGCGGCGGACGGGUGAGUAAUGUCUGGGAAACUGCCUGAUGGAGGGGGAUAACUACUGGAAACGGUAGCUAAUACCGCAUAACGUCGCAAGACCAAAGUGGGGGACCUUCGGGCCUCAUGCCAUCAGAUGUGCCCAGAUGGGAUUAGCUGGUAGGUGGGGUAACGGCUCACCUAGGCGACGAUCCCUAGCUGGUCUGAGAGGAUGACCAGCCACACUGGAACUGAGACACGGUCCAGACUCCUACGGGAGGCAGCAGUGGGGAAUAUUGCACAAUGGGCGCAAGCCUG
rnacentral:rRNA from 1 species